CACUACUGCAAGGUGCCAGGAUCCAACAGACCCCCAGCCUACCGAAUGUGCCGCAGGGGAGGCGCACUGGCGAGAGAGAUGUGACCAGAUGCUGUCUGCUGCCAGUCCGAUGCUGAGCGACAGAGGUCGAGGGAAGGAUAUCUGGAGCCAGCGGAGACAACCACUGCUGGUCAGAACUGCAGGCCUGCACAGAAUGACGGACACCAUGCGUCAAGCCGUCAAGCCACAAGCGCUGACUGCUCUCACCAAGAGGAUUUGCCUCCCCUGGGUCCCCAAGCAUCCCACAGUCAAGCUGUCCUCCUUCACUUGGAAAUGACACGAAAAUGUCACAGGAAAAUUGACUUGAGGACAUCUGCUCCUCAACACCUGAACAAAUGCAGGGGACAUGUGGGGAACCCUGCCACAGCGGCCGGGGUGUGUAGAGCCCCCAGGAAGAGGGCAACACCCACCCCUACUUGGGCACCCUCUCCUUGGUAGACCUGAGGACAGGCACAAUGCCCAGCCCAGUGCCCAGUAAAGGCCUGGCUCUGCCAGGAGGAAGGGGAGGGACCACAACACCCUGACCCUGUCGGCCCUCAAGAAAGAGGAGCCUGGGGCAAGCGUCUUUCUCCAGAAGGGGGAAAUGUGAUGGCACUACAAUUCCCUUCCCAGCUAAGCCCUCUUCUCACGGAGGAAACGAAUGCUAAUGGAAGCAGUUAAAAUGGAAAGGGAGUCGGUUUUCUGGCUGCGCAAAAUUCUGAGAAGCGAUUGAAGUGGCUGGGAUGAAGACACGAUGGCUGGAGUUAGAGCAGCCACACUGGACCAGAAGCUGCUGGAGUGGAUGUUACAGCAACAAGCUAG
rnacentral:lncRNA from 10 species